AUUCAUGAUUUUUUGUUGUACAUCAUUAUAUUUGCAGUUUUGGUAGUUCUUAAGAAUUGACCAGAAGCUUAGACAGUUUCCCAAGUGCCUAUAUUCAGACUGUUAAAAAUAUUAUUUUUUUAUAUAAUAUAUACCAUAUAUCAAAUAUAAUUCAGUUUUGCAGGGUUUUUCUGAGGUCACUUGCUGUGGAAAGAUCAGAGUUCUAUCAGUCUGUUAGAUCUACUGGUGUUUCAGUGUUUCCUACCCUCUGUCACAGUUUUCUGCUUCAUAAUGUAUUAUUAGAACCCUUUUAAACUUUGUCCCUUAAAUGACACCCCAGGCAAUUACUCACCGGCCUUGUGCUAGAGGCAACUCUGGUUAAUCUACCUACAGCAAGGGGACAUACUACCGUCUAAUUCACAGUCGACAGCCCAGCGAAUAUGCUGUCUUUCUACUUAGACCCUACGCUGUUAGAGGAUUAAGAAAGGUUUAAGAAACCACGUGUUUAUUUGACUUAUCUUCCAUUACGCACAGGCUUUCUCCAAGGUUUAUUUUUCUCUCCUCUCUGAAUCGUUCACUCUGCACAGCCUCCCUCGGCAGUCCCUGCCUCCCCAGUUGUGUGUGGCAGGGGGUGUGAUGGCCCUUCUUUUUGCUUUUGGUCUGUUCUGUCAUCUAGAGUUUCCCCUGAAGGUUGCCCUAGAGCAUCUUCUUUCUCCUUCUCCCAUCCACCCGCCACCUCCUGGGAGUUGGCUGCAGGGCAGCACAGGGUUUCAUGGCUUUCACUACUUCAGGUUCAGACUGAUGCUGUUGUCAAUGUGCCUGUGAUGACAAAACAGUUCUUCCUAUCAUUUAUGUUGGUAGAAUUACGACAAAAAUUAAAUAAGCAAGGCCCAUUAAUCUUGUCUACACCACUUAUUAUUUUAUUGACCUUGGGUGUUUCUUUUCCAUAUGAGUCCUGCUGAUUUAAUUUUUUCCCAUUCAGAUGUUCCAACGUUUGGACCAUUCCUCUUGUCUUUCUCCUAUACCUACAAUGAUUUUUCGAAUGAUGUGACGUGAGCCGUAAGACAGGGUAAAUUCACACGGUCUGCACAAUGCCUGCAAUGCUAUAAUUUCAUUUCUAGUUGUGUUUGUUUAUUUUUUAUUUAUAUUCUUAAUACCUAUAUACUGACACAGUCUAUAGGCUGUGUCUCUGCAAUCACUUGGCAGAGCACGGGGGAGCAGAGAGGGUGAUGCUGUCCAAAUGUUUUCUCCCUGUGAUCAUGGUUAAUAAAGCUCCUGUCUGACCUGUCCUAAAUUGUACCUGUGUUAUUACACACUUGGAGUCCCCUGAUUUCUGACGCUUGACAAAGCCAUGUGUCUUUCCGACCACUGUUAACAGUGAACUGGGAGAUUCCCACAGACCUACCAGUGGUGCCUGCUAGUUCUCUUUUCUGAACAGUAAUAGCCAAUUUAAAAUCCAUUAAAUUAUAUACAUCUAGUUAAGCUGUAUCCCUCCAUAUUCAUUACAUUUAUUGACGUUUUGUCUGUUAUUUUACUACCUGCAUACUCAGAGCAUGUUCAUCAGACUAAAUGUAGAUGAAUAGCAUCUGAGCCAGCCACUGUGUGCCCCUUUUAUAGGCAGUGGAGAGAAAAGACAUUUCUAGGGUUGUGGGUUAGACUAGAUGAUCUCCAGGGGCUCCUUCCAACUCUAACCAUUAUGUGAUUCUGUGAUUUCUCCAGUUCUCAAACAGACCAGGAGAAUCAAGCCUUAAAAUGUCUGUUUCUCUCUACUGAGCACAAAAGAAGCCUCAGGUGACUCUCGGUUUCUCUAACAGCUUUGUUGUAGAUGUCCAUGGUUAGGUGAGAUGAAUCCCGUGUGUGCUGUAUUGUGAGCUGUCUCUGUCACAUUGCAGUUACCCUUUGUUUAUAUUGCCCUAAAAUAUUUUGUAUCAUCAACAACUCUGCUACGCUGCUAUUCACUUUUCUCAGAUGAUUUAUGGGUAAAUGGAGCACAUAGCUUCAUAGAUGCUGGUGGGACUCCUCUGGAAGCCUUCCUUUAUUUAAAAAAAAUAACCUUUUGUUCCUGCUCUUUCUUUUUGACUAGCUACGAGAACUUUAUUUAUUUAAAAACCUUUUGGGAGUGACCUUGUCAAAACCUUUUUGGAAACACAAGUAUGCUGCAUCGACAACACCACCGCAGUCUGUGCUCUUGCUGACUCUUUUCAAGGAGCUCAGUGGGUUUAUAAGGUUUUCCCCCUACAAAAGUCAUAGCAUUUUUUUCCAGUUGUAUCGCGUUUGCCUAGUGUCUCUCAGUUCUAUGCUUUAUCAUAAAUUUUCCAAGUCAAUGUUCCCAAAUCAGAAUUAUGUGUCUAUAGAUCUCCAGACCUUUUAUAAUUUUAUUUUCCAAAGCUUGGAUCACAUUUGCCAUUUUAUUCCCUAAGCGUCUUUUAACUGGUCGGUUGUGCACUGCAGUUAGCAGUUCUUUUACAGUCCCAGGGAAACAUGAAACAGUCCUGCUGAUUCAUUACUACCUAUUUUAUUGAUCUGUCCUAAAUCUUCCCCUACUACAUUUGGGCUGCUCCUAUUUUUUUUCUCACCAGGAAAGCCCAUGCAAUGGGAAUCUCCCUGAGAUCCUCUAUCACGGUUACUGAGCCCACUUAGCUUUUCUCUUUAUGGAAGCCCUGUGGCCUUAUUGAUUACCUGGCAGGGUGCCGUCUAGCAGCAUUUUUGAGAAAAGCUUGAGCACUUUUUUUUUAUUCCUUCAGCCAGUUGUCUCUCAAAAUGAUUUUCUCACCUGCCUCCUUAUGAUUUUACGUUUUGCUUACCAGAAGGUAUUCUUUGCCCACCUCCUGGUGACUUGUCCUAUAUGUCAUUUGUAUUGAUCAAAUCUUUUUCUUUCUUUUUGUGCUGUAAAAGAAGAACAAUAUUCUGUUCAUAGCAGAUUAGAUGAAGUGAACCAACAACCUACAUUAGGCACAUACUAUUUCCUGAUUAUUAUGGUGAAGAAAUAGUUCACCCUUUUCUGCUCACAAUCUAUAUGUUUGGUAAUGAGAAAGAGAAUAAUUUCCAUUAGUCUGAGAUGGCUGAAUAUAGGCAGCACAGGUAUUUGUGCUCUGGUAUCCUUCCCUUCUACGCCAUUUUUAGAAUGCUGUCUGCUCCAUUAAAAAAAAAGAAGUACCUUCCAUUUUUAAACUAAUUGAGUUAAUACUGUUCUCACAAGAGAGGAGCUUCCUCAGAGGAAGGUCAAUAACAUAAUUAGCAAAACAUAAUUAAGAAAGUGGUGCUGCAGGACCAAGUUGCUGGCCAGUAUGGCUGAUGGACCCAUGGGGCUGUGGGUGAGGUGGAUGAAUCCCUGACACCAAAGGCCAAAAUCUGCCCUUAGAGAGCACAGCAAUGCAGGGUGAGGGCAGGGUCUGCCCUUUGCCCAGGCUUAUGGAAAAGACAGAAUUUGGUAACAAAAGCUCUCGGAGCUGAAUAUCUGGCGCUUGAAAUUCAGCACGUGCUGUGAUUUGACUUUAUGAACACUUGAUCUUUUGCAACUUUGCAUCAAAAGUGUGCACAGAAGGCAUAGUUUAUGUUCUUUGUUUCAAAAGUUAGUUUUUCAUCACAUAUUAAUUUGUAAUAUUCAAUGUUUUCAGUUUGUACUUUGAUAUUUGUUUGCAGAUACAAGUCUGACUGAAGCCUGAAACAACAUACAGCCUACUAAUGCGGUUCACACUCUCAAAUUUUUUAUCUUAAUGAGCCUGCUAAUCUCUGAGAGGUUUUUAAAGAGGGAAUCACAACUAAUUUGGAAUAAUAGCAAUAUUUGAAAGUUUGGACCUUUGUCUGUGACAGUUCAUAAAGGGAAAAAGGAACAGUUAUCCAAUAUAUUACUGGCAAUGAAUUGUUGUCCUUACACUAUUAAAUAUCCCAGGAACAGAAUUGCUGUAUUUUAACAGACCACUAGUCUGAUAUAUCCAUUACGAUUUGUUGCACAGUGGCCAAUACCAUAUGGUUCAAAGAAAGGUUCAACAAAUCCUAUGAAAAUAUUAUGUAGUAAUCUACCUUCUGGAACAUUUCUUCACUUCUGGCAGCUAGUGCCUGAUUUAUGGCCUCAAGCAUGGCAAUAAAAUCCUAAGUGUUUUCACGUGUCUUUUCCCAAAAUGACUGCUUUGCAUACCUGAAAGGCUAUAGACAAACACCUGGGUUCCACUUGCACGUUGUGGUUUUUGUUUCAUAUUUAUUAUUUAAAGAAGAGUUAAUGGCAUUUCAGGUAUUUACUUGUUAUCUUCAGAAAAAGGACACUUGUAUUUAACUCUGUAACAGAUAUUGGAAAGGCGGUGGAAAAGUGAAUUUCCCCGCACUGAUCUCUGGGGACAGUUUAACCACAUCAUUAACAGAGAGAAUUAAGUCUAUCUUACCUCCUCAUUUUGGCUUCUCAAACUCCAACCCUUGUUCCAUCAGAGCACAAUUGUUUUAAUAAUACAGCUGCCUUCUCACUGCUGCUAACUGGAUUAAGCCCAACAACUAAUUCUACAUACAGGAACUCCAUUUUCCAAUUCCUAAGCACUAUUAUCUUUUAGUCACUACUAUGCAGAAUCAUUUUCAUUAACAAGUCAAAAUCUCUGAGGAUUUUUUUUUUAUUGCUUGUGACCCUUUUUCCUCAUAUGAUUCAGUUCUCACCGGGGUAUAUAAUACCAGUGAGACUGUAAACUCUAAUAAUUUGGUCAUGCAGAGUGCAUCUUUUGGUGCUUGAAUACUCUAAACAUGGUUUUCCUCAUGUUCAUUGCCUAACACAUGCUUCCAAAUUUUUUUUUAGUGGCCUGUGAUUGUUUCUAUAAAUACAUGUUUGGUCAUGGAUUGAAUUCAUUUGGCAACACUACUUAGGCAUGGAUGACUGAUGAACCAUUACAAGUCAUUGACUGUGGAGAAGGUUAAUCAGACAAAUGUUCUCAUUAACCUGAAUCUGAUUCUUCUCUUCAUUAUUGAGAGCUGGAACAUUUUCAUUUUCACCGUGAAGUUAAGGAAUGAGUUAUCAUAUUAUAAAAUAUGUUUAUAUACAUAUUAAGUGUGUGUGUGUGUGUGUAGUUUCUGUGAGAGCUUUAUAAAGUAAAGAAUAUAUCACGCAAAAGCAUUUUGUAGUGUUCUGCAAUCUGAAAAAAAAAAGCCCAGUAUGUUUAAAUGAACAGAAUACUGUUCUUUUCCAGUGCACAAAUGCAUGAAAAUGCAUUUCAAAUACUUCUUUUGUCAGCUGAUGACCUUGAUGGCUCUUUUUCUUUCCUAUAAUUCUUCUAUUUCCUACGUUUGUUAUUUUCUUAAAUCCUGCCCAUUUUUUCUUCAUUUUUUGACGUUAAUGUUACAUUUUCCUUGGGCUGCUCCCUUGCUUAAAAUACAUGAUUUUCCAUCCCCUUCAGUGGUGGUCCUCCUAUUAUUUUGUCUAACAUCUUCCCAGUCUUACACACAACCGCAGUUAGUAGUCUCAUAGGCGGCACAUUCAUGUCUCCUAUUAGUGUAUUUAUGUCUUUAAAACAGAUGUGCUUGUUGUGAUUUUUAUUCCUCAGACCACUAGGUGAAACCCUGUUUAUUUAUUUGGCAAACAUGCUAUGCCAGUAUUCCUUGGCGAGUGGUAUGAAGAUAGCAGGUCAACUCAUUCCUUCUGUCACUCAAGCAUGACAUAGUUAUUUAUAUGCUUUUGAAUUGUUAACGACAGCGGGCUACAUGUAUGCCCCAUUUAUAGAUGGGAAAGGAAAUAAGGCUAAAUAAGUCACAGAAUCGCAGAAUCACAGACUAGUUGGGCUUGGAAGAGACCUCUGGAGAUCAUCUAGUCCAACCCACCUGCUAAAGCAAUCUCACCUACAGCAGAUCACGCAGGAAUGUGUCCUGAUGGGUUUUGAAUGUCUCCAGAGAAGGAGACUCCACAAACUCUCUAGGCAGCCUGUUUCAGUGCUCUGUCGGCACCGUGUCCAGGGUGCUCUCUUUCUUUGCAGUCAUUGGACUUCUCCAUAAUAUUCAGGUUGUAGAGAAAGCUGGAAGCAGCAGUAUCUCUAGCACAUCCUACAUGUAUAUGUGGAUGUCAGACCAUAAUUUAAAUACCUAAAAUCUUAUUUCUGCUGCUAGCUGACCCUGGCAGGUUCUUAAGUCUCUAGGCACCUACAUUUCUGCCAGUAAAAUCCUUAAUUUCUUGAAUGAUAGGUUGGGAACAUGACCAAUGGUGUCUUGUUGCUGAGAGUGACUAAGUAUUCUCAGAUAUCCACUAAACAUGAUUGUUUCUUCUGUCAGGUCAAGGUUUUGGUUAUUUCUUCUCCAAUUAAUGUUUCAUAUCAAAUAACUGAAUAAUCAGAACAGCAGAAACUGGAAUGCAGUCCCCUUCCACUCCUACUCCAAGUGACUAGAUUAGAGAGUAAUUUUCUGGCUCAUUAGCCAAACACACAUGUAAUUGUUUCACAAAACCCAGACAAAUUUACCAGGAGAAACUGAGAGAGCACUUUCCAGUUAUAUAUUGGUGACCACAACAAGAUCUAGAUUAAAAUUGCCUUAGGCAGAUAAGAGUGGCCAAGGUUCCCACAGACCUGGAUAAGUGUCUUUGCUGCUCCUAGAAAGCAAGGAAAGAGGGAAGGUCAAACCAGGAGCUUCCUGGGGUUGAGAGACAAGGGGUUUUCACCCAGCCCCUUAGUGCCAGCUGGGAGAGAGAGUUCCCUGCUCCUUCUGCUGGCUUUCGUAGAUCCCAUUCAGAGGCACGUGGACAUCUCCAUGUGUUCAACGGGGAGCCUAGGUAUGUCACCUAGGGCUGGGUAUUGCAGCAGGUGCCGAGAUCUUGGAUUCAUCCCAUGUAACAGUCAGCCUAAAUUAUUGUCUGGAGUUCUCUAUUGACUUCAGAGGAGCCUAGCAAGAUUUUUGUUCCCAGCUAAGGUUCCCAGAGUUAGUGGGAUGAAGCUGGCUGAACGUGACAAAAGUUCACAAUUGCAACACUUGAUAUUGCAACAUUUAAAGACUUUUGUGGACUGAUCUGCUGGGGAAAUUCUGGUUAGGUAAAUGCAGUGGUGUUUUACUAUUGACUUUAAUGGCCCUAGAAGUCAUUUAAAGAAUUCUGUACAAAAGCUAAUGCUGCUACUCUAGAAGUAGGUAUUAACUGCCUUUGCUCCGAUAAUAUUGAGGGAUCAAAGCCAUUCCUCCUAGGUCUUGCUGUAAUGAAAGAUGGGUUUUAACCGCUCUUUAAAAGCAGUGAAUCUUUUCAAUCCUUUUUCUCCUAAAAGCUCUUUCUAUCAGAUGUAUUUCGAUAGAGUUAGAAUCAUGUCCCUGUUUUCUUACUAAAUGCUCCUAUUUAUAUGUUAAAAAACCUGGCAGGUUUGCAAGUACUGAAAAAAAAAUCUCAAGGGGACAGCAUUUUUGAAAUGGAAUGGGAUUUAAAGUGAGAAUUCAUGAAUAUCCCUUUGGCUGGGUAUGACUGCAAAUCUUACAGAGAUCUGUGACACACUCUCAUUCAGCAGAGUCCAGCUGGGAGCCGGCAGCUUGUGUCUGUGCAGCCCUUUGCUCUCUGCGUGGGUGGAGAAGGAGGUCAGCUCUCAGCCCAGCCCCGUGGUGGGGAACAGUUUGGGUGCUCUGGUGCAGGUGGGAGAGGAGGCCACUGCUUGCUUGGUGGCUUUGGUUACAGCUGGAGAGUAGGCUGUCUGCAGGGGUUCAUGAAACCCGGAUAAUUUUGAUGAAACUGGGAUACUGUCAGCCUUUUGGUUUGGUUCUUGAUGAAGAAAUUCAAGAUUGUGGAAACCUCUCUGAGCUCAGCACUAACACAUCAGUGGACACUUGGUUUGGCUUUUGCUGGUUACUUCUCUAUUAAUACUGAUUCUACAGAUGUCUUCAGAAUACAGAUCACCAUAUUGCACCAUGCAUCCUCAAUACAGAAUGCAAUUAUAGUCACUGCCAAGUCAGAAACAUCUGCCUGAGGGAGGAUCUUGCAGGUCCAGACCAUGAAGAUGUUGCUGUGAGAUAGACCAGUGACGAGUUAUCACGGCACUGCCCGGUUACUUGGCUCAGCUCAGGUCACUUCAUCUGAUCGUGCCUCCAUCUUACUUCUAUUUCUACAGUGCCCUUAAACUCAUGGAUGAAAAGUGCCCCAGGAGCUGAGAAGGGCUGGAAGAGCUACUGUCAGCUGCCAUGGGAUUAGACCAAGCACUGCCAGGGCUAUAGCAUAGCAGGAAGGAUAGCACCAAGCAAGAUACUGGUCCAAGCUUGUAUGCCUAACUGAAAGUCAGUGAAGUCCCCAAAAUACACAAAGAUAACUCAUUAUUAUACUUAAUGGGAGGCUGGUUGUUUUGCAUUGAGUUUACUUUAUGUUACAGAGUAGUUGGACAAAGCAGAGUCUUGCCACACCAACAGGCAUCAUCUAAAAGUCUGGAAAUAUUUCUAUAUAAAGAGAUGGAGGGACCACAGCUGCUUGAUUCGGAGAGUAGGUAAAAAAAGCAGAUUUAUUAAUACAGACAAUAUGGAGUGAAAGAUGCACAAAAUAAGAAAUGUUAUAGAAAAACGCACAAAAUAAUAAAUGUUAUAGAAAAUCAAGGUCUCCUAUUUAUUCUUGAGCAUAAUGCCAAAACAAGGCAGUUUGAAAUGGAAGUGAAAAACAGCAUAUCCUGAGCGGUGCAUUAUUAAUUUAUGGUAUUGAUUGAUGCAUCAAAAUAAAGGAUUUAGUGAAAAUAAAAACAAGGAAACAUCUCUGUAGGGACAACAAGAAGUUCUAAACCCUUUUAGACAGCACAGGAUGACACAAGCCAUGGGAACAAAAGGCAGGCCCCUAAUUAGUUGAUAGCGGCUUCCUUGUCCCUUCCUUUUGGCAGUGAUCUAAACAGGAGUCUGAGAUGUCCAAGCCCUUUAUCUGGUCAGGUGGUGCAAUUCUCUACAGACAAGUUCAGGCAUGAUUUUGUGAAAAAGCUCAGUACGGCUUGUGUGUAUCCACAUUUCCAGCUAAAAUGUGUUUGAUGUGCCCUCAGUUGCAUGCACAAUGGACAACCUGUUGUCAGCAAUAGUUGCUUUUCACAGCCUAAGCAAUACUAAAGAAGCUGAAUUUGGAAAGAAACUUUACCGAAGAGGAGUACACUAAUUCCUGAGGUAACUCCACUGACCUUGCUCGAGCUGCUCCAGAGUUCAGUCUAGCCUUGACCUGUUUUUCUGCAGUUCGCAAGUCCUGUGGCUGGAGAACUGCUGCUGUUUCUGCUGUUCCAUCCAUCUUUGCUCAAAGUAAUAACAAGAGAAUUAAAAAGGGUUCAGGGAAGGGUGACAAAUAUGAUUGGAGCAGAGGAAAACUCUCGUAUCAAGGGAGAUUGAUAAGGUUGGAGUUGUUUCCUUUAGAGAUGAGACAAAUAAAAAGGAGACAUAAAAAAGGAGACAAAAUAAUAAAUAGCACAGAACAGCUCAUCCACACACCCUUUGAGAUCCGCUAAAGGACCUUUAGAGGUCCAUGGCAAUGUAAUCAAUUUAAGCUGCUGCUACCUGCCUCUCCCUGCCGGCUGGCAGCACAUCAGGCUCUCUGCCUUGUGCCUCCUUUGCCUUUUGGGGUAUAAAGGCUAAAAAUCAUUAGUAUAGGGAAGGUAGGGCAGGGGCAGCAGUUGUCCCUAUUUCCCAACCAUAAAAAUAGGGAUAGUCACAUGUCACAGAAUAUUCCAAGCCAGAGUACAUAGUACACAAUCAUCUAUGGAGCCAGACAAUAAUUAAUGUUUGCUUUUUAACAAGGCUUUCCCGGGCUACAAAAGUUGCUGGCAAAGCUGGGUGCAGCUGUGGAUGCUGGGGGAGGCUGCACACCCAUUCCUCCAUCCUGUGAGCCAGGUCAGGUGCCCCAGUGGGUGGUGGCAAUUAGAGGACUACUGGCCUCUCAGGUUGUUGCUGCAAAUCUGCCCCUGGUUACUGCUAACAGGUGUGCUAGCGUGUUUUCAGCAGGCGAUUACAGCAGCUGGGGUUUAGGAGGAAUCCUAAUGUGGCACAUACAUUAAGCCACUUCUGCUUAAUGCCGAGGAUGUCAUAAUGUCUAAUGCCUACAAGCUAUCUGCUGUCAGGGCAGGAUGGACAGCGUGGGGUGGAACAUGUCUCCUGUGCUCCUGGCUCUGCAAAAGCUAGCACCAUAAGGAAACAGCUCCUAUCUCGAAUCCAAACCCAGCAACGUGUCACCCAGAAGAUGAACUUUCUCAAAUAAUUUCAUUUUAGAGAGGGAUCAGAGUUUUUAAAAGAGAUCUUCCUGUGCUCUUUUGAACUCCAUCAUUUCUUAGUUACAUCUCUGUCCACUACCUGCCUAUGGCUUAGAAGACCACCUAGUACUAUUUAGGGACUAACAUAAUACCAAAGGCAUCAAAGUUUGAAAGUCAUAAAGGGAAAUAGGUUAAAAUCACAUGACAUACCUUGAACUCUUCUGGCAGCUUGUUGCUGUCACUAAAUGAAGGAGUACUCCCCACUCUGCCAUUCCCACUUCUCCCUGCUGCCUGCCACUGGUGUUUGCUGUGGGCUCUGUUGAGCUGGCGCUGCUCACCAUGGGGGCAAAACCCAGCAUGGCAAAAACCAGGAAUAGUCAUCUGUUGGGAUAACAACCUGAACUGCUGAUUGCAGCUGAAGGCAGCCAUGACUGGGUGCUGCUUUUAGUUGUAAGACAAUCAGAUUGGGGUUUGAGAUUUCUUUUUUUUUUCUGCUUGAGAUAUUUUUAAAUAUCUUUUAUAUAUCAGUCUUCUACAACUAGGUAGGUGAUGAGGCAUUGUGUGAUGCAGCUUUCCCAGCUGCAACUAGUCCAGUUUCCCUUUUUAAAGUAUGCAUCAAUCCCAAAGGAGCCUGUACAGCCCAGAGCAGGCUGACUACCCGCUGGCUGGGGCACUCGCCCCGGCUGGCAGAAGUCUAGGUUACUGUUUCUGUGCCAAUUUUUCAAUAUUAUAUAGUAAGUUGCUUUUAUUUGGAUGACCAAUUUGAUAAUUGAUGAACUGAUUAAGAAUCUCUUGCUCUGUUAGUGCUGCUUACUUUCUGAGAACAGAGUUUGGGCUCACUUGUUCUUUCACAGCUAGGAGUACCCUGCUUCAUGCUACAGGGUUAUAACACACAGCUGGCAAACAGGAGACCUGCCCUCCGCUGCUUUCACUGCUGAGGAAAAAGUUAAUUUCCCUUAGUUGUCUCUCACUUAUUGAGAGCCAGCACCAGCACACGGGAAGACACCUCGCUGCUCCUGCGGGAUGUGCAGUUGCCGGGGCGGUAGAGGUGAUGCACAAUGACUGGUGGCAACCGUGGUUCCCAGGGAAAGGCAAGGCUGAGGUGUCUGAGGCUUCAGCCACGCCAAGGAGUCAGCUGCCUGAAUCAAGCCCUUAUCCUGCAUCAUCUGAGCUGUGAGAGUCAACCCAGCGCAUGUACGCACCCCGUGGUCAGUGUGGGGAGCGGUAUCUCAUGGAGUGAUGAAAGUGGGUCAGAGUGAACGCGAUUUCACACACAUUUGCAGCAGGCUGGCAGCAGAAAUGUGUAAUCAGUUGCUACAGUUCAGUUGGUGUUUUGUAGCUCUGGGGGUAGUGGUGAGAUGAGACUAAGUCCUAAAAGCACGCCACCUCUUGCCUCUGCAUUUCAUAGGAAACAACCAUCAUAACAGUCUCUGAAGACUCACUCCAAUGAGUUUCCUAAGCAGCUGACAAUAGUGCUGCCCUUUUUCUGUAAAUUCAAUUUCAUGUCAGUGUACUGUAUUCUAUGAAUUUUUCAUUUUUUUGCUGCACUGCUUCAGCAGCAGUGGGGAUGGAGAGGGCCACAUGCUUGCCUUUUGCUCAGUUGUUCACUCCCAUCACACCGGGGUUUGUAACUCAGCAAGACCCAGAAAUGGUAAAAAUGCAUCUCUGGUGCCUGGACUGGGUACCCUGGCUGGUCCUUUGUGGCCCAGCAAUCACCACAGAGGUGGCUGCAGGGAACAAUGUGGCCAUUUGGGAAACGAGAGGGGCCAAGGCAGGUGCAGGGGCAUUGGGAUCCACUCGCAGGGACUGACCCCUGGAGAUGGCAGUGGAUCCCUGCUCACAGCCUGCUGGGAGGUCUGAGUUUCUGGGCCUUUUCUUUCUUCUAAGAGAGUCUUCAAAUUCCAGGAGUUUUUUCUUGUCUUAAUAGGAACGGAUUUACACUGAUCAUUUUUGUUUACAGCUGCUAAUGGGAAUUUUAUUCUUGAAUCUCCUGUGUUUUGGAGUACCAUUUAGUUUUCAAAGCAAACACAAAUUUGUAAGAAGUAAUGGGAAGAAAAAACUACCAGACUAGCCUCUACACUGCUUAAGCUGAUGUUAUAUAGCCUCCUCUGAUUAGCUUUUAAAAAUUAUUUUUAGCUUAGGUAUGUAGUAUAGAGCCCUAGACUGUGUGAGCCUUACUGUGCUUAUCACUUCAAACAAGAUAUCAAGAACCUCUCCCCAAAAAUAACAGAUUGUAGGUAUGCAAGGGACUCCCUUUUUUCCUUCUGAAGUGUCUUUACUUUUAAUAUCAAAAAGCUCGGUUGCAGUGAUUCCCCCAGCUGCUUCAACCUGACUCCAGUGAUGGCUGAGGCUUCAGGUGAGCUCCCUGCAAAAAUUGGGGCACCCCCCCACCCAAGUUCAAAGCAAAGCAGAUGGAGCUGGAUGGGAUACAGUCUGCAGACACCUUUCCUUUCAUUAUUUUUUAAAUUCCCUUUACUAUAUUAUUAUUCUAUAUUUCUAUUCUAUUUUUCUUCUCAUUUUUUUUUCUGAAACAAUUAAUGUCGUUUCACUUGAAAUGGUUCCUACAGUCGUUAGAGGGGAUUUGGAGAGAGACAGCAGCUGUUAAGUGGAUGCCAGGGAUGCUUUAUCUGAUAGCCCUCUGUGACUGCCCCUCUUUGUGUUCUCCAGACCUUUGUCCAUGCUAACCUGACUUAGAAUAAAAGUCACCUGCUUUUAGACUGAGCAAAAUUUACUCAAGGGAUCUUCAUUAGGAAAAUUAUAGAAAACACAGCAUAAUCAUCUUCAUAUUUUGUGAGGUUUUCCCAACAUGAAAGCUCAGUGAAACUCCAUACUGUACCUUUAGAUGAAGAGCAGAGUGGUAUAUGACUUACAGGUCUUACCUUACACGAGGAGGAAUUGGUCUCCUAAUCCAUCAGACAGGUGGUGUUGCCAUCAGCCAGGCUGGAGAAAUGCCCUGACACCAACCCUGUCCCUGGCUCAGGGAGUGAGCCUGCUGGGCUUGCACAUGCACCAAGAUGAGUAUCAGCCUAGAAGUACAGUUUGUCUUCACAGCGACUACUUUAAGAUAUUCAGUAAUAUCAUUUUUAUGACCAAAAUGAAAAAAAAAGAUCUUAGACUAUGUAUUUGUGUGUCGCCUUAGAGAAAGGAUCUUCUGGAGAAGGGCAAGGCAUGGGACUGUUCAUCAGAUCACUCGUGUCCUUUCUUGUACUUCUUUAAUCAUUAUCAUUUUAGAAAUUAAUGUAUUUGAUGUUUCAUUCAUUUCUUUAAUGUAUCCGAAGCUCAUUAAUAAUCUUGAUUAUCUUUUCUGUAGUUUUUGUUUCAUGAAAAUAAAAAUACACGCCAACGUCCUGCAGAUGUACUCCCUUGACCUGAACGGCACUGCAGACCAGGUUCCUUUGUGUCAAUCAGAACCAAAGAGGAAAACAGUCCAAAGAUGGCUUUCCUGAUCUUUCUGAAAAGAAUAUUUCCCGAGGCUUUUGGAGAACUUAUCCUUCAUGGAAAUGCACCAUCAACUGGGAUGAUGCUUUGGAAAUGUCAAGUGCAAAUAACUGCGGGGGUUUUGUUAGAGAAAAGGGAGAGGGUUAGAUUCAUCGUAAUUGGUUGUACUGAACAUUAAAUUUCCUCUUUGGAAAGCUGUUUGUCUUCAUCAAGAAUAGUUGGGAUGUAACUUAUAUUCGUGCAGUUAGAAUUGUUGAAAAGAUUUGAUGAGAGUUAUAUAUAACAGUUUAACGAACUGUGACCAAAUGUAAUGUUUCCAUUCACAUAUUAGAAGUAUGAUUGAGGGUAAAUUGUUAGAUUAUGUGGACUUCAGGAGCCUACGAAGUGAAUGAUGGAGAUUCUUGAAGUAAAGUAAGAAAUUAUUUUUUCAGACUAUGUGGUUACAAUUUUCUAACUCUUCCGAUAUUAGACAAUCAAAAGUUUUAUCUACAGGAUACCCUGACCUUUCAAGUCAUAAUCCUGUUUAAGGCCAGACAACAGGAAUACAUGAGAUCAGCGUAAAGAGUGACACAUUAAUUUGUAGGAAUUUUGUAUUUAUUGAGCUAUGAUACUCCUUUGUGAAAUGAAAACAAAAUACUCUAAUAACGGCUUAAUUAUAGAUAGGCCAGAUGAGGCUGUUGGUAUUUAACGACAGAGGAUGUUUACAUUUAAGGUGAUGAAGGUCCUGUCAUGCUGGAAAGAAAGAGCAGGAAAAAGGUAAUGAGACGAAGACUGAUAAGUGUUUGGGCCUAUGUCUGUUGGACUUAGAUGUGGUGGUGCAGGAUUCUUACAAGCAUGCUGGUGCUUUAGGACAUCAGCCUGAGAGAGCCCACCAGCAUGUGGCAGAGACGAAGAACUGCCCGGGUGCCAUUUUGACCAGAGUCUACAAAGUGCAACUAUAGUCAGUCCUCAUUCUUUGCAAGUCUAAGUGAAAACCAGAAGCAACAGAAGAAAGCAAAGAUUUGGGAAUUUUUGCCCAAAUCUGCCUUAUUCUAGGAUUUAGAAGUGGGUGAAACAAAUAGUUCUAAUUUUUGUAAAAACAAGACAAAUCAGAGUAUGUUUAUUAGACGUGCACAGAUCAGGCAAUCCUGAACCUGGAGGAGGGAAAAGCAAUCCAUCUCAGAGUCAAGGUUGAGGCUUAUAUCUUAUUCCUGGAUAAAGAAGAGGGAAGGUGGAGAUGUUAUUGCCCAUCACGCUGCAGGUUGUUUCUUUGGGUCUGCCUGAAUUCACAGCUUGUCUCCUGCCCAUUAAAGUAGGAAUAAUCUCCUAGGAGGGUGUUGUACAGAGCCACUCACACCCAUGUAGGAGCUACAGUAGCAAACACAGGAGAAGAACAACUGGAAGGGUCCUGGUUGGUUUUCAUAAGAAUGCCUUUCUCUCUUAAAGAGAAGUCUAUUUAAAAUUUGAUAAGAUUUUUCUUUUCCUGAGAAUUCAGCUUUGAUUGAAGAUGGAUACCUGGAAAAUGGAAUUAGUCUUUCUGAGCCAGCUGUUUGCCAGUGUUGUUAGCAUCUCUUUGAGAUGCCACUCCAGGGAACACUUGCUCCUUUGCACGUCCUCCAGCACCCUCCUGGCCAAGCCUUGGUGGAUAUUCACCUUCCUCAAGGGGUUUGAAUUUGGCCCCCUUCCACUUUCCCUCCACUUUCCAGCUCUGCAUUUUGAAGAUUUGUACUCACAAGUUAAGAUAUAACAUAUUGCUCACUCCUGCUCUAGCAAAGACAAGGUUUAAUAUUUGUUUCCUUAGCAAUAAAGGUUGUAUUCAAUCUAAGAUAUUUUAAAUGUAAUGCUGAUAAAUUGUGCACUUUCUUAAUGCAUAUUCACAUUGUGUCUUAGUCUAUUAUAUGUGUGCUGUAUAAAUGUGAUGCAUUAGCUUUGUAAACACACAAAUAAAAACAAAGAGAAAAAAAGCAUUUGCAAACCAAGAUGCUUUUUCAGUGAAGUAAUGGAUCUGUGAGAGCUGCAGUUCAUCCUGAGCAAGGCUGAAGAUGGCUCAGCUGAACUAAUAUUAAAAAAUCAUCACUCCUGAAAGGAAAGGUCCGAUCCCCCAGCUUCUGGUUGUGUCCUCCCUCUCCCCUUGCAUUGGUUUUGGUCCUGACUGGAUCUGUAACAAGGCAUUUUGACUUGCUGAGCCAGAAUAAAACUGAAUAAGUGAAAAAGGAGGCAAUUUUCUGCUGGGUUGGUGAGUUGAACUGUCUUCAUGAAGGGCCUGAGAAAUGCUGUGCAGAAGUGUACUGUGAAAGUUGAAGGAGAGGGGGAGCAAGGACACUUUUGGUGUCAGUCAGCUGCCUAUUUCACCUCCCCAUGUGGGAUGUAGGUCCAUGAAGGUGAAUGCAAUCCAAGUGGGUGCUGCUGUCUGACCCUGCUGUGCCCUCCAUGAUGCCCUACGUUUUCCAUGCACCAGCAAUUGUGUCCAUCUGGCCCCACAAUGAGCUGGUUCAUUGUGCUAGACUGGCAGAAUAGUAUUCAGUAUUAGUAUGGCUUUAGUUAGGUCUCUCCCAGUUUUGCAUCCUGAGCAGGUUCUCCAAUAUGUCAAAUGAACACAAAUAAUAGUGGAGAAAUGUGCAGGAAAGCUUGCUUGGGGACACAGGAGGUGGCUGAACUAUGACAAAGCUGGCUUAGGUUAGUUGAAACUGUGGACUGUAGUUCUACAAUAUACCUGUUUUCUGCAUUUCUAUUCCCCUUUGCUUGGAUGAAUUUGGGAAGCACAGUUAACAUUUUCUGUCUGACUAAUUUUUCAGCUGUACAAAGCUGUAUGUAUAUAAUGGACCUACCUCUGAUACCCAGUUUGCAAAAAUAUCUUUUUACCUGCAGGAUGCUAAAAGGAGCCUGCAAGAAGGACAAUCUAUCUAAAGAACAAAGGUACAUUAAUAAUUUUAAUAAGAUCAUACACAGUCAUGAAAAACAUACCCCAAAUCACCAACUCAUGUUCAGUUGUCAAAAAUGUCUGCAGCUGGUCCAAUUAAUUUGGUGAGGUACACAAACUAGGAAAUAACUUGCCUUAGCCUCAGAUAAGGCUAAAAAGGGUUGUAAGAAACAGAUGGACCUGUAUUUCCAGGCCAAUCCGUAUGUCAAGCACAGUGGUGAGAAAAAGUUCUAGCACUGUUCCCAUAUGUACUGCAGAUCAUACUCUAACUGCUUGCUACUUUGGGCAUCCUUCUCGUGGUAAGGUCCUCAUACUUGUUUGAGUUUGUAGUGCAGGUGAUACCUUGGUGAGCUCUGCACACCUUCUGUGUGCCUGGGACUACUAAAGGCCACUGGAGAACUAGAGCAGUCGUUGUCUUUGAUUUAGUAGCAAAACCUGUUUUCAUUACUUGGUCUCAAGUCCCGAGGACAGCCCAAAUCCUCCAGCACUGGAGCUUUCAAUAAGACAUUGUUUGUUCUGCUGUGCUGUCAAUAAGAUGUCAUUACUUUAGCUGCAAGAUAAGACAGGAUUUGUUAAUGGCUCCUCUUGGGGGAUGGUAACAUUUUUUUCCGCUUAUAGAUCACUGGGGAAAAAAUAAGGGAGCAGGCUGACAAAGAAAGAAAAUCAGUUCAGCUUAUUUUUGGUAUUUAUGCCUCCCAGUUAAAGCUUUAAGUUAUGUUGAGAACAAAUGCAGUCUUUUUCUUUUAUUCGUAGUCCUGUGUGAAAACAGUGCUAUAAUAUGCCAUAUGCAUAUUGUAUAUAUCUUUUGAAGAUUAAAAAAAAAAAAAAAGAUAAUUUAGUAUCUGUUUAAAAAAAAAAAACUGUUGUGAGCUGUAACAGGUCUAUAACCUAUCAUUAAUCUCAAAGUACGGUACUCCACAAGAAGCAGAUCAUGUUCUGCCUUUCCCAAAUCUAACUAAGUCACUAAUAAACAGAAGAUAUGGCAAGGGAUUCUCAUGUCUUGCUUUGACAGAGCUGUCAUUAUUGUAACCCAGGGGCUGCACAGCUGGGGAUGGAGCUGCUAUUGCCCUCACCCCUGACCUCUGCCCAAAUCCCCCUGCAAACAAGCCUGUCUGGUGUGGCCUCUGUCCCAGUGGCACAGCAGCCUUCUGCAGGCUGUCCUCAUGAAACUCCCUGGUCGUCCUGGGGUGUUCAGAGACCAGGUGACAUUUUGGCAAUCUCAGAAAUAACAAUGCUGUAUUCUUUGCAAAACCUCAUUCAAGUCAGUGGUUGAGGAUCUAAUUCUGCCAAUUUUUAUGCAUCUGUAUAAUCUUCUAUGUAGUUAUAACUAUGAACAUCCUGAGGGCAUGUCUGAACUUGAAAAAUUCACUUGGCUCCAGGUGAAGCCUGAGCUCAAGGCACAAAAGCUACUGCUGAAUCGGGACAUUCAGAGGACCCAGACUAGGUCCCAAGACCAGCCCUGCCUGUUUGCAGCUGUGCAGGGGACUCCUAAAAGCACAGCCUGGCCCCGCCAGCUGGAUAGCCAGCUCAGGCAGGCAGGGAAAUCCCUUUUUUAAAGAGGUAUUAAACUAACCAUGGGAUGAGGAGCACAUUUGGUUGCAUUUUGAUAGAUUUCUUGUGCUGCAGUGGUGAGCCCAGGCUGCACUGGUCCCUGGUUGGGGCUACCCAGCUGCUGCGUUGCCUCUCCCACUGCCCCGUCCCCCCCUUGCCACCCUGUGCAACUCUCUGCCAGGCUGGCCAUGUCACCACAGCCACCCAUGCCAGCAGAGCCACCUGUGCCGCUGCAGUCCCCUGCCUGGCACACAGCUGCACAAACAGAGGGUUCAGCAGGAGGCAGCCCAGGGUGGCUGGGAGCAGGCAGAGCCUUUACCUGCAUAUGUUGGCACAGCCACCAAAAUAUUUUCAUGGGACAAGUAACCUUAACCCCUGUCUCACCUCUUAGUAACCAGGCUGCUCUCAGCUCUGUCAAACCCAAGGACGUGACAAACCUCAAGUGCCAUUAACCCUUGGUGGAGAGGAUGGAUAUUUGGUGCUGAAUGCCAGGCUCAGGCUAUAGUCACUGUUUCCACCGACUUGUGGGCUCCAGGAAGUGAAGAUCCUGCAGUGCCCUUGCCAUGGAGGCUUACAUGUAACUCUGCUUGCUCUGAGCAGUCAGACUGGUUUAGAAAAUGACUGCAUGAAUGAGCACAAUACGGGUGUAACAGGAGAGUGGUUGCUGGGAGCCAAACAGGAUCCCAGAGAAUGGCGAGGUAAGGUGAUAGCUGCAGGUGGCUGUCGCUCCCUGCACAGCUUACUCAGCCACUUGUGCAACAUCCACCCAAAAAGCAGAGAAAUGAUGUGAGAGGCUUACAUGGAUACUACAUGAAUAUCUAAAAAAACCCAAACCAAAUCAAAACUCCGAUAUUGUUUUAAUGCUAUCAGAGUUGGCUGUAAUUUUGCUCAUGUCGUACAAUGUAAGAAUUCCCCUGUUAACUCCCUCUUCCAGUGCUAGAGGUGGUUUCUUGGUGUCCUGCCCUGUGCUUGCUGCACAGUGGGAUUUUGUCCGUGGUCCAUGUCAAAUUAUUUUCUUCUUUCUCUUUUUCUUCAGCAUUUAGGACAUUACUGUAGCCUAUAUAUUUACAGAGAAUAAUAUAUCUUGAUACAAUUGGAUGGAAGACUUUUUUUUUUGUCUUUACUAGAAAAGAGCAUCUUGCAGUACGAGGCAGGCUGGGAGUUGUGUUUCUUAUAGUCAGCAGAACACCCAUCAGUGUGUGCAUGUGUGUUUGAAAGACAAUACAUGUUCACAUGUGCACUUCCAUACCCUGUGCUAGGACUGCCUGGAGUAACCAGAGAAUUGAUGAAUCCAUUCUAAAAGCAAAAGAAGUGAUUUAAUUUCUUUGCAUCUUUGCUGACUGAUAAACUGUAAAUUUAAUCCCAGUGAUUAGCAUUGCUUUUAUAGGAUAGUGGUAUCAGAGAAGGCAAUACAAAUCAUAGAAAACUUUAAAAGGCUCUUGUUUUGAUGCACUUCCAGCUUGUUAAUAAGAAAAUACUUUCUUCAACUUUCCUGGAAAGGAUUUGUUACUAUUACCAGGCUACUUAUGAGGAAAAUAUAGCCCCAAACCAUUUAAAGGUUAUUUAUGACUAAUUACAUACACAUCUUUGGUGUUUUGUGUAUGUGUUACUGAUCCAUGGUUGAGGUCCAUAUAAAUGCAAAUAAAAAUAAAGCCUGCAGCCACCAGUGCUGCUCCCCUGUCUUGGAAAUGCAGCCUUAUUUAGUGGAUGGGAAAUGACAGAUGGGCAUCCUAGAGAAAAAUCUAGACUUGGUGUGAAUUGCUGAUACCUUUGCUGAACUUGCUGGUGAUGUACAGGUGGGAGAUACCAGGUGGGGCAGAGCACAGUUUGUGUUCAUCUGGCACACACUGGUAUCCCAAACCAAUGCAAUUCACCUGCUCUGUGACAGAAAGAAUUAAAACUAAGCAGGCAACACCAGAAGUAAUAUGCUACUUUGGCUAUUUGUGUAUUAACCAGAAAAACACUAAAGCCUGUUCUUUGAAAGGUUUAAAAUGUAUUAGUCAAUGUAAAACCACACUUUCCUCAUAUAGAUUUGGCCUAUGAUGAUACUUCAUCCUUCUGCUUGUAGGAAAAUAACCCUUAUGCUUCGGCAUCAAUUUCCUUUAGUUCGACCCUCUGACAAAGCCCAACUAAUGCAGCUGUGGUACUGGCAUCUGCACCACAUGCAGCCCUUAGAGAACAGGUUGGAAGUGGUGGUACCUCCUUCCAUAACUAUCACCAAGCUACACUUAAAGCAGAUCCUGGGAAUCCUUGAGGGUAAAAAAAACCCAACAACACACUUCAAUGCAAAAAAAGGUCUUCAUUUAAAAUUACUCUCUAAUCUUCCUGUUCUCUAAGUCUUAGGAAAGGAUUUAUUUGAAGUAGAGAGGAAGAGUCAGAGCAGAAGCAGAAAACUGAUGGCUGGAUGACCUGGAAAGACAGAGAGGGUGGACCUCGUGGAGGUGAGAGCAUCACAGACUCGAUCCAGAUGGAGGAAUAAAUGAUGACUCUUUGAAACAUAACACAGGGUUUAUCAUUACAAGAGUGAAAGGGCAAUAAAGACCUAAACUGUUUAUUUGUAUGAGAACAUAAUGGUCCUUGUCAUCAACUUGGUGUUGAAAGGAGUGACUCCCAUCUAGAGGAUGAAGCAAAAACAGGAGAUAAAUUUCAGUACUAGUAACAGUUUAACGGAAAAAGAUUGAAGAGGAGGAAAAUGGAAAUUAGACAGGGAUGACAUUCUAAGAAUUUAGAUGUGGCAUUUGGCAGCAGCAGUAUCGGUCAUGG